GGGGCUGCCGCCGCUGGAACUGAACCGGGGGACUCGGCUGCGGGCGGUGGAUGGCUUCUUGUCCUUCCCUCCAUGGACUCCACGGAGGAGCUGCCUUCUCUCCUUUUCCUGCCAAGUUUAAAGGCCACUCGUCUCUGAUGAAUGCACCUGCUGAUAUAGAGGAAACAUCUUGGAAGGCUGAGCACAACUUCCUUAAAUAGUCACCUGGACCAGCCAUUGAUUUGUCCUGAGUGAGAAAUGAACCUUUUAUUGAAUUAUGCUGUUGAGAUUUAGUCACAACCACAGCAUCACCUAGUCAACCCUACCUAGUAUAACAGUAUUUGUGGUUUGAGUUUAUAAUUGUUGAUUUCCUUGUUUGGGUGUCUCCCCACUAAUACCUGAGGUCCAAAGGGCAAGGAAUUCUAUCCUAUAUAAUAAAAGUAAUAUGCAAAU